CGUUGUCACAAGAACUUCCCGUCUGUGUUUGCUGUGAGCAGCGCUUUGAUGUCAUGGUGCCGGCCCAGCCCAGCUGUCUGGACCAGGAGGGAUAGAGAAGGAGAGAUAAGUAGGAGAACAGACAGAGAGAGAGUAAAUCCUUUCAGUACAUGGAAACCCUCAAGCCAACAGCCUACACUGCCAGUGGCUUGGAUUCAGUCUCCCCUCUGAGCAGCAAAGCGUUUGCAUUUGGACUCAGGCUGAAUCUGUCUGCUUGUGAUAGAAGCCUCAGCACCACUUGUUAUCACCAGACACUUCAUAAGUGAUUCCCAGUUGGAUGCUUUCCUGAACCUGGGACCCAGAAAUCAGAUUGUGAAUGACUUUGACACUGCAGUGCCUCUCCAGGAGUCUAAACCGCUCUGCCUUCUGCUGAACGACAGCAACCUGCCAUUGAACAUAUUUCAUUGUUUGAAGCGUUUGGACCCUACAUCCUUAUUAGUCUCUUAUUGAAGUGCAGGAACCUCGGAUCCCCCUUGAUGUAGCCAUUCUUUGCUGGUACUGUUGAUGGUCAAGUUCACAGAAUUUCAUUGAAGGAGCUCUGGGAAAAUGUUGGUCUACUGAGUUAUGCAGCACAGCAUCCCAUCCAGAACGUUCUGUCAAGCCAGUUGCCACGCAUACACAGGAGGUGGAAGUCCUGGAAAAGUGUCCUGAAGCACUGCCUGCUUCUUUUUGGCGCCCAUGUUAACCGAUUGGGCGUGGAGCUCUGCGGCCGGUGCAACAAAGGUAGCAGGAGAGAAAUGGAGAUGCAAACCAAGCACAGUCUGUACAUGCAGCCCUGAGAAGAA